UUUUAUUAACCACAAAAUGGCUUUUCAAUUUAAAAUAACACAACAAAAUGGCUGCAAGUAUUGUUUUGACUCUGUGAACUUGAACAGAUGCUUUGCUAAGUUGGUUGUAUUUAGAGAUAAGAGAAAACAAUGGAGUUUUCAUAAUAUGAAUCAUAAGAUAGUGAUUUAGAAUUCAAACUAACCUUGAACUGCUGCCAUGACAUGACGAUUUAUGUAAUUAAGACUCCUUUCCCAGGGAAUAUCAUUGGAUCAGCCUGCUGUCAAUCAUGUCACCUUAUCACAUUUGAUUGGUCUUGUAAUUAAAGUUGUACUGUCUCUUAAAAAACAUAUAAAUAAUGUAUAAUUUUCGAAUCUAAUUGUGCAACUUCACCACGGAACACAGAAGCUUUAACCUCGGUGUUGCUGGACAGAAGUGUGUCAAGGUGCCUUAAUUCAAUAAACUAAUGACCCUUGCUUUUGUGCAGAUCGCAUUCCGUUGAUUCUUUUGACCGAUCUCAAACCGAGAGGUCUCUAGAUUGUGGACAGUGGCUUAAGAGCCUUGCGUCCUUCACUGUUGAGGGUUAAGGAAUGCGGCCAGCCAGACGAGAGUGUAUCAGAUCUACCAGCAGUCAGGAAUCUUGGAUUUCACAACAAUGACUUGGGACUUGAUGAAAUCACGGGGCAUUAGGUCAAACCCAGGUCGCAGUCGAAACUGCCAGCUGCAAUGAGGCUGCUCGAGCUUUCGACUCCUACUUUGGUUUACAACACUGCUGGUACAGAGUGGAGAGGUUGUGCAGGCCUAUCCAGAAAACAGCUAACAGGGGAGGUAACAGAGCUCAAUGGAAAAGUUUCUACAGAAGUCCAGUCCUGCAAGACAAGAGGCUCCAUUAGAUCUAACUCUGAAGAGCUCAGUAAAGUGCCGUGGGAAAACAUUUAAGUGACCGAGAACUUUGUAUCAUAGGGAGAGAAGAGAUCUUAGCAUAUUACACAGGCCCCUAAAGGCAAGUUUAUAAGGUUAUAAAAAAGGCAAAUGAUUGCUCCCCUUCACUGGCAGAGGUAUAGAAUACAAAAGUACAGAUAUAAAUGAUGAAACUCUGCAAGUCACUGGAGACUACAACUUAGUCAUAGUAUUGUGUACAGUUCUGGUCACUAAACUACAGGACAUAUAGAAUUGCUCUAGGGAGAGUGCAGAGAAGAUUUACUGAAAUGUUGUUAGGGCUGGAGAGUUGUAUCUGAGGAUAAAUCAAAUUGGUACCAAAAACAAAAUUGCUGGAAAAGCUCAACAGGUCUGGCAACAUCUUUGGAGAGAAAUCAGAGUUGAUGUUUUGGAUCCAGUGACCCUUCUUCCUAGCUACCAAUCAGUUCUGAAAUGGUUGGUAUUUAUGUAGAUGAGGUGCAGAGGAAGGGGAGGAAUAAAUUAUGGAUAGAGAUAGAACCCACAGAGACAACCAACCAAACCAAACCAACCAAAGUCAGAGAGUGGGGAAAAGUCUGCUUGGGAGAAUGAAUAGCUGCUUAUAGGGACACUUUGUGACUGAUGGUGGGUAGUAUAUGGUAGCAACCCAUCUAAUAACAAGGCCUGGUGCAUGGAGGUGGAGGAAAGACAUGGCAACGUUGUCAAGCCCUAAAACGGUUGAACUCUAUCUGGAGAUUAGAUGGCAUUAAAAUGUUCCUACGUGGAAAACAAGAUGCUGUUCUUCCAACUUGCACUGAGCUUCACUGGAGUACUGCAGUAAGCCUGAGCCAGAUGUUGGCCAUGGAAUAAGGUGGUAUGUUAAGGUGCAAGCAACUGGAAGCUCUGUCUUUUUUGUAGACAGAACAGAGAUGUGCUGCAGAAUGAUCACCCAGUCUACAUUUUACUUCCCCAAAUGUAGAGGAGACCACAUUGUGAACAGUGAGUGCAGUAGACUAGGUUGAGUGAAGUGCAGGUAAAAUGCUGCUGCACCUGGAAGGGGUGUUUGGGUUCUUGGAUACUGAGGGAGGUGGCAAGUAUUACACUCAUCCUCCCCCUCACUGCACCUGCCCUUUAAAACCAUAGGAGGUACAAGAGUAGGGAGUGAAGGGGGAGGGAACAGUCCUUGAAGGCAACUGACAAGAAGGGAAGGGGAAUGUGUCUAGUGGUGGCAUCCUGUGGGAGGUGGCGCAAAAGGCAGAUAAAUGAUCACAUGCUGGGCUGGUAAGUGAGUACAAGGGGGAACCCUAUUGCUACUGUGGGAGGGAAGAGAGAGAGGGUGAGGGUUAAAGUGUGGGAGAUGGGUGGGACCCAGCUGCAUGGCAAGAGAGAGCGUGUGCGAGCGCAACAGAAUGAAGCAGCAAAUGAGGAUGCAUGGUGGGUUUGUAGUGGAUAUUAGUGACCAAUCUACUCCCAGAAAUGGAAACAGAUGUUGAAGGGAAAUGAGGAAGGGAUGGACCAGGUGAAGGAGACAGCAGGACAGAAAUUGAAAGUAAAAUAGAUAAACCUUUCCCAAUUCCAAAUGGGAGGAAAGCAGCACCAAUGAUGAAAUCAUUGAUACACAAAAGGUUUGGUGGGUUGGGGCUGGAAUAUGGAGGAGAACAGAGUAUCAGCACAUAUCCCACAAAAGGGACAGGCAUAACUAGGGCACGUUUGGGUACCCACAGCCCUACCUUUGACCUUCUCACCAUCCAAGACCCCAAACACACCUUUCAGGUGAAGCAACACCUACAUUUCUCAAAUCCAGCCUAGUUACACACUAGCCGGAAUUGAAACUAUAAAUUCAUGUCACUGAAAAUCCUAGAGCAGCCUUUUAACACCUCAAAAGCUGUGCAACAACUGAAGGACUGCAGCAAUUCAAAAUAACACCACCCAAUAUCCUGCCCAUCCCAGAUUGCAAAUCAGUACUGCAUCCACAUCUGAAGUGAUUAAAAACCAUUAGUGACAGGAAAAAGGACAUUUUAGGGACCAAUAGGAAGAUUUACACAUGGAAGCAGCGAGCAUGGCUGGAGUAUUAAAAUGCUUCUCAUCUAUCCUUACACCAGAAGAAGCAGGCCUCGACAGGAAAUUCAGUAACUAAAAAAGGGUUUAAAUUAAGGAUUGGGUUAGUGUUAAGUUUGACAACUCUGGGACUACUUGAGAUGCAUCCAAGAGAUACUGGAGGAAGAGAAGUGCAAACUGUGCAAUCACUAGCCAUCUAUUUUUCCUCCAAGCUUAGACUCUGGUGGUCAGAGUCUAAUUGUAAACACUGUGCCCUUGCUCAAAAAAAAAAGGAAUGCAAGGAUAAAACCAGCAAUUACAGAUCAGCUAGUUUAAACAUAGGGGGCGAUAUUUCCAGAAACAAAUUUGAGAGCUAAUUAAUAGCCCCAUAGAAAAAUGUUGGUUAAUUAGAGAGUGCCACAGAUUUCUUCAGUGAGGAGACAGGGAGACAGAUAGGAAGAGUGAAAUUAAUGCUUGUGCAGUACAAGGAUCAGUGGCAACAUGACAAUUGGCUGAGGGAUAGGAAACAGUAAUGGUUAAAAUCAAUUUUUUUUUUAGGCUGGAGGAACACAUUACUCAAGAUCCCCAAGGUCAGCAUUGAGACCUUUUAUUUUCCAGACAGACAAUGAUCUAGACCACAAUGGGGAAAGGAUAAUUUAUGUUUGCAGAGGAUUUAAAAACAUGGAAGCAUAAUAAACUGCUGAGGGCAGUGUAGAACUUG